UGAAAUCAAAAUAGCAAUACUUAACAUCUUACACAAGUUAUGCAAACAUUCAAAGUCAAUGAACCAUGACUGAGUUACAUGGCUAAACAAUCAAAUAUUUCGAAAGAAUAUUUAUAGAAGCCAUAUUUAAAUUCCACAAUAGCAUUACACUGUAAAUAAAAGACUUAGUAAAAGCACAGUCUGGAGUCUCCGGUAGAUGGUUGCCUCAUUGGUAACCAUACCAUAAUAUAUGAUAUUAUAUCUAGAAUCACUGAACUUUUAGAAUAAAAUGUAUAGAGAAAGAUAUGUCUCCUGUUUUUAUUGUAAUACUGAAAAUCCUGAAAUAAAAAUAGCAACA
rnacentral:lncRNA from 1 species